UAUCGCGAUCUAUUGGACCCUAGUAUUGAAUUGAAGGACGAAGUACUUGAUGGUCUCGUCCUGUUUACAGCGAAAAAGUUGGAGAAGUGUCUCCAUCUAUGUCGCAAGAAGUUUGCGAUAGGCGACGUACUUCUUUCGACUCUGCUGAAUCGGACAGAUGGUCCAUAUGCGG